GACGAACGCUGGCGGCGUGCUUAACACAUGCAAGUCGAACGGAAAGGCCCUGCUUUUGUGGGGUGCUCGAGUGGCGAACGGGUGAGUAACACGUGAGUAACCUGCCCUUGACUUUGGGAUACUUCAGGAAACUGGGGCCAAUACCGGAUAGGAGCUCCUGCCGCAUGGUGGGGGGUGGAAAGGUUCGGCGGUUGGGGAUGGACUCGCGGCUUAUCAGCUUGUUGGUGGGGUAGUGGCUUACCAAGGCUUUGACGGGUAGCCGGCCUGAGAGGGUGACCGGCCACAUUGGGACUGAGAUACGGCCCAGACUCCUACGGGAGGCAGCAGUGGGGAAUAUUGCACAAUGGGCGGAAGCCUGAUGCAGCAACGCCGCGUGCGGGAUGACGGCCUUCGGGUUGUAAACCGCUUUCGCCUGUGACGAAGCGUGAGUGACGGUAAUGGGUAAAGAAGCACCGGCUAACUACGUG
rnacentral:rRNA from 1 species